AAGUGACAGCCCAGGGGGGUUCCCUGAUUCCACAGCACUAGACUCAGCCUCUGGGCCUCAAGUGGUUUGGGGGUUUUGGAAUCUUUCUUCCUAGAGAAGCGGCUUUUGCCCCCCACGCCCUGUAGUCUGGACUCCUGGACCUGCUUCCUUUGCCCACAGCAAACCCCAGACUGAACCCCCUACCUCAUCAAACUUCCAAGUCUACAAACGAGGAACGGGGGCUAAGCAGCUUUGUUCCUACUACUGGGAGGAGAUGCAGGAAGGCAAUGACCUGGAAGACCUUGAGCACUUGCCACCUCCAUCCCUCCUGAGCUGAGGCCCUGACACCCCACUGAUGGGCACGGACACCCCCUGCAACUUCUCCACUGCUGCCCACCGCUGCAUUGUGGGUGGCUUGCCGACUGCAGCAGUCAUCGUCCCGGUCCUGCUCUCCUCAUCCACUCUGCUGGUCAUCAGCUACAUCUUGUGGAAGACAUGCCGCCAGUGGUCUCAGGCUAUCCAUCCCAGCCUGCUGUUCCCAUGAGGUAAGUCACACAGGGACCCCAAGGACAGGGAGCUUCCAUUUCUUUUUUAUUCUUAGUCUCCUUGAGCACAAUACUCAGAAAAAUCCUAUAAGUCUGUAUUGCUCAAAGGUGUGACAUGUGAUCCUUAAAUCAAAAGGAGAAACUCUCCUUACUCUCUUGAGGCAACAAGAUGUGCUGAGCUGGAUAAAAGCUCAUAGAGGCUACAAACAUCCAGGUGAGGCUUGGAUGGCAUGACAACUGCCAGGGCCCUGAAUCCCUGCUCAGCCUAGAGCCACCCCUCUCCCUUAUCUACUGACUGAGCUCUGGGAUUCUGAGGGACAACAAACUGAGGAAGUGGGUCCCAUGUAGCUAAUACACAAAAGCCCAGGAUUCUCACUGCUGCCUUAAGAUCUCAGGACAUCUGCUCUGUCUUCCAGCCACGGUUCAUGGCUUCUCCCACUCAUCCAAUAACCCAGGUGUGUACCAUGUACCAGGCAUGCUGGGUGCUGGGUUUAUAACAACAGAUGAGACCCAGACUAGUAAUAUAGUGGUUUGAAUAGAACAAUGCCAACAGAGUAGGAGAAGCACUUGGAUGGAAUUCAAGAGUCUGUGGGAGCAUAGAGCAGAGGCCACUAACCAGCCAGGGGAAGAGGGUUAAGGAAAGCUUCCAAGAAAAGACAUCUAAACCUAGACCUGAAGGAUGACUAGGGGCUUGCUGGAAAGAAGGUAGGACAGGA